rnacentral:tmRNA from 1 species
GGGGAUAUAAUGGUUUCGACAUGCAUGGGUUAUUUAGUGUUGCAGUAGUGUGAGAGACUAUAAUUCUUACUAGGCUUUCUUAAACGGAAAACAAGAAGAAAAAUUCGCAUACCCAAUGUAUGCACAAAACACAAAUCUUGCUUUUGCUUAAUAAAUAGCAACGAGUUGCUUAUACAUGACUCCUUUAGUGUAUAAGUAGGUCUUAAAGGAUAGUUUUCAGUGUUGCGAACUGAUAAUGAGAUUUAGCUAAAUAUUGUUAAUUGUUUUGGUUAUUUUUUGUUAACAAUAUUACAAAAUAACAUAAACUGUAGACGCAUUAAAUAAUUUAUGUGUGGACACGGGUUCGACUCCCGUUAUCUCCACCA